rnacentral:rRNA from 1 species
UACGUAGGGACCGAGCGUUGUCCGGAUUUAUUGGGCGUAAAGAGCGUGUAGGCGGCCAGACAAGUCCGUUGUGAAAACUAGAGGCUUAACCUCUAGACGUCGAUGGAAACUGUUUGGCUAGAGUCCGGAAGAGGAGAAUGGAAUUCCUGGUGUAGCGGUGAAAUGCGCAGAUAUCAGGAAGAACACCCGUGGCGAAGGCGCUCUCUGGUACGUGACUGACGCUG